rnacentral:misc_RNA from 1 species
UGCAUGGCAGUUAUUGGCUAUCUUUCUAGCUACAAUUGUUGGGAUUAUUACUCAACCUUUACCUCUUGGUGCUGUAGCUCUUAUGGGUCUUGGUGCUUGUGUGUUGACUAAAACUCUUACUUUUGCUGCUGCAUUUUCAGCUUUUGGUGAUCCUAUUCCAUGGUUAAUUGCUCUUGCUUUUUUCUUUGCAAGAGGGUUUAUCAAAACUGGAUUAGGGAAUAGG